rnacentral:rRNA from 1 species
UACGUAGGUGGCGAGCGUUGUCCGGAUUUACUGGGCGUAAAGGGCGUGCAGGCGGUUUGUUAAGUGCAGAGUGAAAGCUCCCGGCUCAACUGGGAGAGGUCUUUGCAUACUGGCAAACUCGAGGGAGGCAGAGGAAAGUGGAAUUCCCGGUGUAGUGGUGAUAUGCUUAGAUAUCGGGAGGAACACCUGUGGCGAAGGCGGCUUUCUGGGCCUUACCUGACGCUGAGACGCGAAAGCGUGGGGAGCGAACCGG